rnacentral:rRNA from 1 species
AGUUUGAUCCUGGCUCAGGAUGAACGCUAGCGGUGCGCCUAACACAUGCAAGUCGAGCGAGAAGAUGGAGUAGCUUGCUACAAAGUUGGAAAGCGGCGAACGGGUGAGUAACACGUUGGUAUCUGCCCUCUGGUCAGGGAUAGCCAUCCGAAAGGAUGAUUAAUACCGGAUAGUCUCGAAAGAGUAAAGAUUUAUUGCCAGAGGAGGAACCUGCGGCCUAUCAGCUAGUUGGUGAGGUAGAAGCUCACCAAGGCUAUGACGGGUAGUUGAUCUGAGAGGAUGAUCAGCCACAAUGGAACUGAGACACGGUCCAUACUCCUACGGGAGGCAGCAGUGAGGAAUCUUCCACAAUGGGGGCAACCCUGAUGGAGCGACACCGCGUGAAGGAUGAAGGUCUAACGAUUGUAAACUUCUUUUCUGAGGGAGCAUAAUGAGAGUACUUCAGGAAUAAGGGACGGCUAAAUACGUGCCAGCAGCCGCGGUAAUACGUAUGUCUCGAGCGUUAUCCGGAAUUACUGGGUGUAAAGGGUUUGUAGGUUGUUUGUUAAGUAGGGUAUGAAAGACCGGAGCUCAACUCCGUGUUUGUAUUCUAAACUGGCUAACUAGAGUUAGGGAGAGGUAAGCGGAAUUUUAAGUGUAGGGGUGCAAUCCGUAGAUACUUAGAAGAACACCAAAAGCGAAGGCAGCUUACUGGAACUAUACUGACGCUGAAAAACGAAAGCGUGGGGAGCGAAAAGGAUUAGAUACCCUUGUAGUCCACGCCCUAAACGAUGAUAACUUAGUGUUGGGGGUAACCUCAGUGCUGAAGCUAACGCGUUAAGUUAUCCACCUGAGGAGUACGGUCGCAAGAUUAAAACUCAAAGGAAUAGACGGGGACCCACACAAGCAGUGGAUC